ensembl:snRNA U6 U6 spliceosomal RNA
GUGCUCGCUUCAGCAGCACAGAUACCAAAAUCAGAAUGAUGCAGAGAAGGUUAGCAUGGCCCCAGGGCAAGAGGACACACAAAGUUGCGCAGUGUGACAUGUUUUU